AUUGAACGCUGGCGGCAGGCUUAACACAUGCAAGUCGAGCGGGGAAGGGUAGCUUGCUACCUGACCUAGCGGCGGACGGGUGAGUAAUGCUUAGGAAUCUGCCUAUUAGUGGGGGACAACAUUCCGAAAGGAAUGCUAAUACCGCAUACGCCCUACGAGGGAAAGCAGGGGAUCUUCGGACCUUGCGCUAAUAGAUGAGCCUAAGUCAGAUUAGCUAGUUGGUGGGGUAAAGGCCUACCAAGGCGACGAUCUGUAGCGGGUCUGAGAGGAUGAUCCGCCACACUGGGACUGAGACACGGCCCAGACUCCUACGGGAGGCAGCAGUGGGGAAUAUUGGACAAUGGGCGAAAGCCUGAUCCAGCCAUGCCGCGUGUGUGAAGAAGGCCUUUUGGUUGUAAAGCACUUUAAGCGAGGAGGAGGCUACUUAGAUUAAUACUCUAGGAUAGUGGACGUUACUCGCAGAAUAAGCACCGGCUAACUCUGUGCCAGCAGCCGCGGUAA
rnacentral:rRNA from 1 species